UAUUUAUUGCUUAUUAUAGCUUCGCAUUAUAUUCAAUGAAAGACAGAAAAGGUGGAAAAUAGGUGACAACUAGUGGAAAUUGGCUGUACUAGCUGAAUCUGAAAAGAUCAUUUUUAAAUGUGUCUGCAGUGUAUUAUUUCUGCAUGAGAGAAAGUUGGUUAAAGAUAAGAUUAAUGAUAGAUCAAGUUACAAGCUCCCACACAAAUGUAUAGAAACAACCCCAGGUGGAAUUUGGGUCAGUUAAGAUUUAUAUAUGCAGGCAAAUAUCAGGUCAGAUGCAAAGAAAUAGUUCUUGCCUAUUCUCUUCAUUAAUUGAAAAAAAAGAAGUGUUUAUAAAAAGGAUGUUUUUACAAUAGCUUUUCAACUUAAGGAUUUGACACAUUCUUUAGCUGACCAAGAAAGUGUAUGUGUGGAAUCAAUUUAUCUGUGUAGUAAUACCAAAUUUUGAAAUCUGGCAUUUGAUGAGUCAGCCUGUGAGAAACUGGAAACACAUUGUGAGAGGUACCUUCUGUGAAAAAAGUGCAACUUUGUGACAUGAUAUGCCUGCCUGACUGUAUAUACCUGAGCAGCACACAGCUUAUUACUGCAUAAAAGAAACAUAUCAAGAUAAUUUUGAAUCAGAUUGUGUGCUGGAAAAAUGGCCUAACAUCCAAAGGAGUGAAAUUUGGAGAGUCAUUCGCCAUCUACUUAAGCCAUCCUGGAAUAUGAAAAAAUAAGACUGCA